UGGUACUCGAGUGGCGAACGGGUGAGUAACACGUGGGUGAUCUGCCUUGCACUCUGGGAUAAGCUUGGGAAACUGGGUCUAAUACCGGAUAGGAACCGUCUUUAGUGUGGUGGUUGGAAAGUUUUUUCGGUGCAAGAUGAGCUCGCGGCCUAUCAGCUUGUUGGUGGGGUAAUGGCCUACCAAGGCGUCGACGGGUAGCCGGCCUGAGAGGGUGUACGGCCACAUUGGGACUGAGAUACGGCCCAG
rnacentral:rRNA from 1 species